GAUGAACGCUGGCGGCGUGCCUAAUACAUGCAAGUCGAACGCAUGGCGAAAGGUGCUUGCACCUUUCAAGUGAGUGGCGAACGGGUGAGUAACACGUGGACAACCUGCCUCAAGGCUGGGGAUAACAUUUGGAAACAGAUGCUAAUACCGAAUAAAACUUAGUGUCGCAUGACACAAAGUUAAAAGGCGCUUCGGCGUCACCUAGAGAUGGAUCCGCGGUGCAUUAGUUAGUUGGUGGGGUAAAGGCCUACCAAGACAAUGAUGCAUAGCCGAGUUGAGAGACUGAUCGGCCACAUUGGGACUGAGACACGGCCCAAACUCCUACGGGAGGCUGCAGUAGGGAAUCUUCCACAAUGGGCGAAAGCCUGAUGGAGCAACGCCGCGUGUGUGAUGAAGGCUUUCGGGUCGUAAAGCACUGUUGUAUGGGAAGAACAGCUAGAAUAGGAAAUGAUUUUAGUUUGACGGUACCAUACCAGAAAGGGACGGCUAAAUACGUG
rnacentral:rRNA from 1 species